AAUAUUUCUAAUGUAAGCGCGCUGCAACACUUAAUUUUUUUCUUUUCACAAACCUGCGCCCUUCUCCUUCAUUAAGAGAUUAGAGUUCACCUUCUUCUUCGCCGCUUUCACCCUUCUUCUUCGCCUUCACUCACCACCACCCACUGUCUCCAUUCUCCUUCGUCUUCACCUUCGCUCACGACUCACCGUCUCCGUUUCUCAUCUUCACCUUUGCUCACCACUCGCCGUGCUCACCAUUAUCAUCUCGUGCGAUCAGCAUCGUCGCUUACCAUCGUCGUCUGUGUGCUCACCGUCGCUGCUCACCAUCGUCGUCUGUGCACUCACCAGAUAAUCGUUGUCUGUGAAAUGGAUGAAGAACUAACUUCAAAAAUGGUGGCUUGGUGCGGCAAGGAUCCAAAGAACUCAACGUACUUAUUCUUGUUGUUGUUGCUCUCUAUGUACUUCUUGAGUGGCUACCAACUAUGAUGGAACAAGUCACACAUUACUAACAUCUGAUUCGCAGCAAAUUAAUUAGAUGUCUUUCUCAUUGUAUGCACUAAGGUUAGUUACUAACAUCCUUUUUUUUCUGAAAUAAUGUUGCUGAUUAUGGAAAUUGGUGCUGAUGUUCUGAUUUUUGAUGAUUAGUACUUUUGUUAAGUUGAAAACUUUAUUGUUGAUACUUUUUUUUGUGGUAGAACAUUAUGUGUUUGUCAUUUAGGUGCGUUUUGAUAUAUUUUAGUUAUAAAUUUUGAUGUUUGAAGUUGUUUAUGAAUUUUUAUUGAUAAUUUAUAUAUAUUUUAUUAUGUGAAAUUUUGAAUUUUAUUAGGUUAGAAAUUAUUGAAUUUAAAUAUUUGAAAUUAUAUAUUGUAUUUUUAAUAAUUUUAUUUAAUAUUUAAUUAAACCGGUUGAACUUCAGUUGAAUCCCGAACGAACCAUCAAACCAGUGAACCAGUCACUUUACCAGUUUAUUAACCGAUUCGGUUCUCGCAACCUUGAUAAUAUGAAGUUGGUUCCUUCAUGCAAAUGUGUUUAGUUCUCUUUUUGUUAUUUUUUAAAUAUCUCUUUAAUUUCAAGUGUUGAAAGUUCUCUGAGCAUCUCCUUUAGAUUAUCUGCCAACCCAAAUUCAAAGUUAGCUACUCCUCUAUCACUUACUGGAACUUCAAUAUCAUUAGUUUCGGUUGUUUAGGUAUCCCGACACUUCUUCCUCAUUUUUUCCCUCAUUGAUACAUAUAUGCAUGUGUUUUGUAUUGUUUGCUAUCUUCAUUUUGUAUUAUUUAAAAAUAUUUUUUUGGUGGCUAAUAUUAUUUUUUGGUGGCUAAUAUAUAUAUACCCUUACUAUUUUUGGUUUUUCAUGGCAUUUUUUGUUAUUGGUUUUUGCUUCUUGAUUUGUUUUGUUCUUGCAUUUCUCUGUUCUUGCUAUGGUUUGUUCUUCACUGCUAUUUAUUUGUUGUUCGUGGCUUUUUGCUAUUGUUUGUUGUUCUUCAAUACUGCUACUUUUUUUGUUGAUUUUUAAUUUGUUGUUAUUCACUAUUGGUUGCUGCAACUGUUAUUUUUAUUUUAAAUUUGUUAAUUGUUAUUGAUUUUAAUUUUAAUUUAUUGGUUCUAUUAUUUUUGUUCUUGAUUUAAUUUUUUAUCUACAUUAUUGUUCUGAUGGCCACUAUUUUUGCAUUUAAUUUGUUGUUGAUUAAGUAAUAUAUCGAUGUUCUUUUUUUGGUUUUUGAUUACAUUAUAAGUGACAACAUUGGUGAAACUGAAGGUGAAA